rnacentral:tRNA from 1 species
AGUAAAAUGGCCGAUAAUAAGCAAUAAAUUGUAAAUUUAUUUAUAAAUUGAAAAAUUUUUUUACUA